rnacentral:rRNA from 1 species
CAGGUGUUGUCAUGGCUGUCGUCAGCUCGUGUCGUGAGAUGUUCGGUUAAGUCCGCUAACGAGCGCAACCCUCGUCGUAUGUUAUAUGUGUCAUACGAGACUGCCGGUAAAAAGCCGGAGGAAGGUGAGGAUGAUGUCAAGUCAGCAUGACCUUUAUAUCCAGGGCUACACACACGCUACAAUGGUCUGUACAAUGGGUAGCCAAGCCGCGAGGCGGAGCCAAUCCUGAAAGCAGGCCUCAGUUCAGAUUGCAGUCUGCAACUCGACUGCAUGAAGCCGGAGUUGCUAGUAACCGCAGGUCAGCAAUACUGCGGUGAAUACGUUCCCGGGUCUU